UACGGAGGGGGCUAGCGUUGUUCGGAAUUACUGGGCGUAAAGCGCACGUAGGCGGCUUGUAAGUUAGAGGUGAAAGCCCAGGGCUUAACCCUGGAAUUGCCUUUAAGACUGCAUCGCUAGAAUUGUGGAGAGGUAAGUGGAAUUCCGAGUGUAGAGGUGAAAUUCGUAGAUAUUCGGAAGAACACCAGUGGCGAAGGCGACUUACUGGACACAUAUUGACG
rnacentral:rRNA from 1 species